CCUACGGGUGGCAGCAGUGGGGAAUAUUGGACAAUGGGCGAAAGCCUGAUCCAGCAUGCCGCGUGUGUGAAGAAGGCCUUCGGGUUGUAAAGCACUUUCAGUGGGGAAGAAAGCCUUGGGGCUAAUACCCUCGAGGAAGGACAUCACCCACAGAAGAAGCACCGGCUAACUCCGUGCCAGCAGCCGCGGUAAUACGGAGGGUGCGAGCGUUAAUCGGAAUUACUGGGCGUAAAGCGCGCGUAGGCGGUCUGAUAAGCCGGUUGUGAAAGCCCCGGGCUCAACCUGGGAACGGCAUCCGGAACUGUCAGGCUAGAGUGCAGGAGAGGAAGGUAGAAUUCCCGGUGUAGCGGUGAAAUGCGUAGAGAUCGGGAGGAAUACCAGAGGCGAAGGCGGCCUUCUGGACUGACACUGACGCUGAGGUGCGAAAGCGUGGGUAGCAAACAGGAUUAGAUACCCCAGUAGUC
rnacentral:rRNA from 1 species